rnacentral:rRNA from 1 species
UACGUAGGGUGCGAGCGUUGUCCGGAAUUACUGGGCGUAAAGAGCUCGUAGGUGGUUUGUCGCGUUGUUCGUGAAAACCGGGGGCUUAACCCUCGGCGUGCGGGCGAUACGGGCAGACUGGAGUACUGCAGGGGAGACUGGAAUUCCUGGUGUAGCGGUGGAAUGCGCAGAUAUCAGGAGGAACACCCGUGGCGAAAGCGGCUCUCUGGGACGGUACUGACGCUGAGACGCGAAAGCGUGGGGAGCAAACAGG